rnacentral:lncRNA from 1 species
CUGCAGCAAGGAUCAACUGGAUCUAUUUUUCUUUUUAGAUCAUCCUGACUGUAAAAUUUUUCUGCCUUUGGUGCCCUCUUCAAGCCCCCACGUAAACAUUUCUCUCUUUCCAGUGCCUGUGAUUACCAUUGGGUUGCUCAAAGAAUCCCUUGGGAGCUGAAGAGGCAGCAUCUUCCAGGCUCGGGGGCAUCAUAUCUGGCAUCACCUCGAUUUUCUGGAGUUGUCAUUUUGAUUCAUCAAGCAGCUGGUUUGUUACUGAAAAGCUCAGAAUAUUUCCUCUGAUUACCUUCCUGCUGAGAAUGGGAGCACAGGGCUGGCUGCGGAUGCAGUCGAAGUGAAAAUGUGUGUGAGAUGCUGGAGAAACGUGUUAAUCACAAAUGUGAAGAAACAACCAAGAGGAAAAACGACAUGGAGAAGUUAAACAGCAAAUUCCCUGGAAAAAGAAUUUUAAAAAACCAAAGCACCUCAGGCACGGAACCGGGGCUACAGGUAACAUUUUAGCAAGAAAAUGAUGUGCUGUCAAAUGUAUGAUAGCUGCAGAAGCCUUCAUCAUCCCAGUUGAGUUUUAUGGCCGUGAUGUAAGAUAUGAGAAGGAAUGCUAGCCCUCAAAUCCCAGAAUUUAAAUUAAUCUUUUUAUUAUCUGAAAUUGCAUUCCUUUUAAUGAAAACAACUUUCCCCCCCUUAUUUUGAGUUCUAAACUGUAGAGUUGUAUUGUUCUGAACUUCAGUCAAGUUGCCACAUCCCUCUCCAAGAUGCUGACACAUAGUGGUGAAAUGAUAUUGGGGUUUUUUGGGUGUUUGGGAGAGGGCA